ACGGAAGGCAGCAGUAGGGAAUAUUGCACAAUGGGGGAAACCCUGAUGCAGCGACGCCGCGUGAGUGAUGAAGUAUUUCGGUAUGUAAAGCUCUAUCAGCAGGGAAGAUAAUGACGGUACCUGACUAAGAAGCCCCGGCUAACUACGUGCCAGCAGCCGCGGUAAUACGUAGGGGGCAAGCGUUAUCCGGAUUUACUGGGUGUAAAGGGAGUGUAGGUGGUUUGGCAAGCCAGAUGUGAAAGCCCGGGGCUCAACCCCGCGGACUGCAUUUGGAACUGUUAAACUUGAGUGCAGGAGAGGAAAGUGGAAUUCCUAGUGUAGCGGUGAAAUGCGUAGAUAUUAGGAGGAACACCAGUGGCGAAGGCGGCUUACUGGACUGUAACUGACGUUGAGGCUCGAAAGCGUGGGGAGCAAACAGGAUUAGAUACCCUGGUA
rnacentral:rRNA from 2 species